UACAGAGAGUGCAAACGUUGUUCGGAAUUACUGGGCUUGAAGCGCACGUAGGCGGCGUCGUAAGUGUCGGGUGAAAUCCCACGGCUCACCCGUGGAACUGCCCGGCAGACUGCGAUGCUAGAGUGUGGUAGGGGAGAGCGGAACUCCUGGUGGAGCGGUGAAAUGCGUAGAUAUCAGGAGGAACACCGGUGGCGAAGGCGGCUCUCUGGUCCACAACUGACGCUGAGGUGCGAAAGCGUGGGGAGCAAACAGG
rnacentral:rRNA from 1 species